rnacentral:tRNA from 1 species
UUGCGCGUAGCUCAGGUGGUUAGAGCCUCGGUCUGAUACACCGAAGGUCGCCGGUUCAACUCCGGUCGCGCAAACCA